GCCGGGGUGGCGGAACUGGUAGACGCAGCGGACUUAAAAUCCGCUGAAGCCUGGCUUCGUGCGGGUUCGAAUCCCGCCCCCGGCA
rnacentral:tRNA from 1 species